ensembl:lncRNA
CUUAAGCGAAUGUGCAGGCUUCUUCAGCGAUCAACCCUGCCUUUAACCAAGCCCCAUUGCUCUUUGUAGUUGCCGACCAGUAUCUGCUCUACUGGGAACUGGGCCGUGUCAGUUCUCUGCCUCAUGCUAGACUCAAGGAAACGGAGCGUAGAGCUCAGUCAGUAGUCUGCGUUCUUACAAGGCCAAGAGCAAAUGGAGCAGUCUGGGACUUCCACUUAGGAAGGGCGGCUAACAGCCGGCCUCCCAUGGGUUCUGUGGCAGUUAGUGAGGGGUCGGAAUUCUCAUUGCUUGGCUCACAUGUUGGCUGGUGCUCCUGAUCCCUCUGAGCCCUUCUUAGGAAGAGUCACAGUGAUUUUGUCCUGGAAUUAACUACUUUGCUAAGGAAAAUGAGGAAUUGUAUUCAGAAGCCAAACUCUGGACUCAGUGUUUUAUGGACUCGUUUGCUCACAGAUCGUCUGAAUGGACAGAGUAUGUUCAUAUUUCUACAAAUAGAGACGGACUCUAUUACUCGCCUACCAGAAAAGGUGUUACUCUUCUAAAGCCAGGUGUGCCUUCAGAGAACACCGUGCCCCAGGCUGCUUUCUGGCUUUAACGUGAUAGUUUUGGCUGCCUUUCAUUCACUGGUUGUGCAGUCCUCACGCAACCGCUUUAAGACACAUUAAAUAAUGUCCUUUUACUUUUUUUCUUUCCCUCCUUUCUUCUUCUGCCUGAGGUAAUUCAAGGAGGCAUUAUUAGCUAUAAUUUUUAAUAGCUCUUUCAGGAAUUGGUC